rnacentral:lncRNA from 1 species
GGGUGCAAAGCUUUGAACUCAGAAAAAGGAAGACGAAGCAUUAUAAAGAUAAUAUCUAAAGUUAUCAAAAAGAAAAGUUAUAAGUUUCAAAUUUAUUACUUAUUGUUAAAUAUUAAUUUAAGUUAUAACUUAUGUCUAGUAUAGUCUAGAUGAUUACAAAUCUGUACUAGUAGCAGAGACGCAGAGACACUAAGCUAAAGAUAUGAUUUUUUUAGCUUCUCUUAAAUAGUGAUGUGACUUGACAAGAGAAAAUGAGAAAUAAACAUAAAUAAAUAAAGAACAUG